GCAAUCCUUGUCUGGGGGAGCUGAGAACGUCAGUGAUCAAUUAGUGAGACUUCUUUUGCUGAAACCCUUAAUUAAACAUCGCAUCCGUUACAACCUACAACGAAUGCAAUUUUUGAACAG